rnacentral:ncRNA from 2 species
UCGGAUACUUUGAGAGUAGUGUCUUAAGGGGGUGGUAUGUCCCAUCCAAGGCUAAAUAACGUGAGGAGACCGAUAGAUUACAAGUAGUGUGAACGAAAGAUGAAAAGAACUCUAAAACAGAGGGUGAAAAGUUCCUGAACUUGCUUAGGGUUAAGGCUAUUUAUAGUACCCGUCUUGAAACACGGAUUAGGGAGUUUAUCUGUAGUGCGAGUCUUUGCACGUUAACUGUAAAGGCGUAGAGAAAGCAACUGGCGUUUGCAUGGCUACUGAGCAUUACUGAUAGGACCCGAAAGGUGGUGAACUUUGCCUGCACAGGUUGAAGUCAGGGGAAACUCUGAUGGAGGACCGUACGGGUUAUUGAUGUGCAAAUCAUUUUUCUGAUGUAGGUAAAGGUGCGAAAGACUCAUCGAACCACCUAAUAGCUGGUGUCCUCCGAAGUUUCCCUCAGGAUAGCUGUAAUGCAUUUAGUUAAGGGGAGUAGAGAUAUGGGUAGAGGUGCAGGGAGCCUUCGGGUUCUCAACUUAUUUCCAAACUUCGAACCUCCUUGUUAGGCAUUUACCUAACUGGAAAUGCUUAAAUGAAUUAGCGUUACAAGUGGGCUCUGACCGGUAAGCGGUCAUGGCGAAAUGGGAUGAACCAUACGUCUGAAUAAGGUGCCGAAAUGUACUAUCACUGAUACCAUAAAGGGAGUCCAUGUAUUUAGACAGCAGGUCGGUGCCCCUAAAAGCAGGUAUCCGCUAAAGAGUGUGUUAAAACUCACCUGCCGAAUACUAGGGCCCCGAAAAUGAAUGGCGCAUAUAGUACUACCGAUCUCAGACAUCAGUUCUAUUGAACUGAGAGUAGGGGGAUGUGGACAUUUUUGUGAAGGUGCAAUGUGAGUUGGACUGGAAGAAUGUCUAUUACAGAUCCUAAUUGAAGUAGCGAUUAUCCAGGCUUGUAUCCUGGGGGCUGAUGAGGAGUAGGGUUUCUGGACAACUUAAACAGAUCCAGAGUUAGUCGAUCCUAAUCUCAAUAAUGGGAGAAAGGGAGUACACUUUA